rnacentral:rRNA from 1 species
GACGAACGCUGGCGGCGGGCUUAACACAUGCAAGUCGAACGGAAAGGCCCUGCUUUUGUGGGGUGCUCGAGUGGCGAACGGGUGAGUAACACGUGAGUAACCUGCCCUUGACUUUGGGAUAACUUCAGGAAACUGGGGCUAAUACCGGAUAGGAGCUCCUGCUGCAUGGUGGGGGGUGGAAAUUUUCGGCGGUUGGGGAUGGACUCGCGGCUUAUCAGCUUGUUGGUGGGGGAGUGGCUUACCAAGGCUUUGACGGGUAGCCGGCCUGAGAGGGUGAACGGCCACCAUGGGACUGAGAUACGGAGCAGACUCCUACGGGGGGCAGCAGUGGGGAAUAUUGCCCAAUGAGCGGAAGCCUGAUGCAGCAACGCCGCGUUCGGGAUGACGGCCUUCGGGGUGUAAACCGCUUUCGCCUGUGACGAAGCGUGAGUGACGGUAAUGGGUAAAGAAGCACCGGCUAACUACGUG